CACGCCCUAAACGAUGAACACUCGAUGUUGGCGAUAUACGGUCAGCGUCAAAGCGAAAGCGUUAAGUGUUCCACCUGGGGAGUACNUGAUACGCGAGGAACCUUACCCGGGCUUGAAAGUUAGUGAAUGAGGCAGAGACGCCUCAGUCCUUCGGGACACGAAACUAGGUGC
rnacentral:rRNA from 1 species